rnacentral:rRNA from 1 species
UACGAAGGGGGCUAGCGUUGCUCGGAAUCACUGGGCGUAAAGCGCACGUAGGCGGAUUUUUAAGUCAGGGGUGAAAUCCUGGAGCUCAACUCCAGAACUGCCUUUGAUACUGGAAAUCUCGAGUCCGGAAGAGGUGAGUGGAACUGCGAGUGUAGAGGUGAAAUUCGUAGAUAUUAGGAAGAACACCGGUGGCGAAGGCGGCCCACUGGUCCGGUACUGACGCUGAGGUGCGAAAGCGUGGGGAGCGAACAGG